AGCUUUGCGCAGUGUCGAUAUCGUAACCAAUGAGGUUCUACCGAGGUGCGAUUAUUGCUAGUUGAAAAAGAUUAUUUUUAGAACACGUCUAUCGAGAAUAUCUUCUAAGUUUCUAACGAAC